AGCUUUGCGCAGUGGCAUUAUCGUAACCAAUGAGGUUUAUCCGAGGUGCGAUUAUUGCUGGUAGACGAACAGGAAAUUGAUUAAAAAAGGCAAAAAUUGUUUGCAUUGAGCGAACGACGGAUCUUUCUGUCGUUCGCUUUUUUUAUGCAAAAAUUUUUUUUU